rnacentral:rRNA from 1 species
UAGGGAAUAUUGGUAAUGUGCGAAAGCGCGAACCAGCAACGCCGCGUGCACGAUGAAGGCCUUCGGGUCGUAAAGUGCUUUUAGAGAGGAUGAGGAAGGACAGUGCUUUCUGAAUAAGCCUCGGCUAACUACGUGCCAGCAGCCGCGGUAAAACGUAGGAGGCUAGCGUUAUCCGGAUUUACUGGGCGUAAAGCGCAUGCAGGUGGUUUUGUAAGUUGGAUGUGAGAGCUCCUGGCUUAACUGGGAGAGGUCGUUCAAAACUACAAGACUUGAGAUUGGUAGAGGAAAAUGGAAUUCCGGGUGUAGUGGUGAAAUGCGUAGAUAUCCGGAGGAACACCAGUGGCGAAAGCGGUUUUCUGGACCAAUUCUGACACUCAGAUGCGAAAGCUAAGGUAGCAAACG